rnacentral:lncRNA from 1 species
GAUAUUUUGGAUUUUUCCCAUAUUCUAAUGUAGUUUAUCUAAGGGGAAACAACUAUGGGGGGAGAAAGCUUGCCAUCACCACCAACCUACCUGGCCCCCACUUAGUACUAAAGUAUGAAGUAAGCUUAAAAUUCCUUUUUCAAAAGAUUUUUUAUGUUUAGUUAUGUAUUUUUCUAUCUGUUUUGGGGUAUGUGCACAUGAGUACAGGUUCCCUCAGACCAGAGGAGUUAGAUCCCCCUGUACCUGUGUUAAAGGUGAUUGUGAGCUGCCUGAUGUGGGCGCUAAACUCCGGUCCUCUGCAAGAGCAGUACGUGUUCUCAACUGCUGAACCAUCUCUCAAGCCCAGCAUGACAUUUUCUCAUGUCCCUCUCUUCUCCAUAUGUGGCAGUGAUCGCAUUUAAAUCCAAGGGUGCACUGAGAAUUAAGAGCACAGCUCAUAAACAUCUAAGUGUGUUGAAGGUUAGUCACUGUGAGCAUGACAUAUGUGAGAGAAACAGCUGAAAGGGAGAGCCGUCUAUUGGGACAUCAGUUUCCAUCCAUCAUGGCGUGGAGCAGGGAGAAUGCUUGUGCAGUGGACUUUCUUCUUUGUUUCUUCUGAUUUCCAUUCAGGCUCUGGGCCAGCCACCUUCUAGACAGCUACUUCCCCCUUAGUUAAUCCUCACAGAAAUGCCCUCACACACAGGCCCAAAGGAGUGCUUCACUAGUCUUCUAUAUCCAUGCUCUCAUGCCAAUCGAACUCAGUCAGGAGGGCCACCAUGUAAGGUCAGUCAGAUGUUACAUUUGUUCCUUAAGUAUUCUGUGGGCUGCGGAUAGCUCAGCAGUGGGGAGCACAUGCUGUACCCACAGAGGGUCUAGAGUUGAAUCUACAGAGCAUGUCUGCAUUUUGAAUGGGCCUGGUAACUAGCCUGUACAAGAUAGGGAUGGCAAAGACAUCUCGAGCAAGCUGGCUACUGAGACUUAGCCAUAUUUCUGAAUUUGAUGUAAAAACUCUCCUUCAGUAAAUAAGGUAGAAAAAUGCUGGAGGAAGAUUCCUGGCACCAACAUAGGACCUCCACAUGCAUAUAUACACACCAUGCAUGUCCACACAUACAUGGUUACAGACAUACACACCACAUAUUUGUAUGAAAAAGGAAAAGUAGUCUAGGAGAAUAAUGACGAUUCAUUUAUAUUAAGUAAAUAGAGAUCAGAUCAAUCACCUGAAAUAUCUUCCGGGUUUCUGAACAUAGCCAGCUAGUAAUGAGGCAUAAGAUCCAAAAGCCACACAUGGGGGUGAGCUAAUAUUACAUCUUAAAUACAUAAAUACAUAAGAAUACAUAAUAAAUACAUAAGAAUGAAGCCAUGGAGGUACAUACCUUUAAUCACAGCACUCGGAGACAGAGGCAGACAGAUUGCUAUAGGUUCAAGGCCAGCUUGGUCCACAUAGUGAAUUCAGUCCAGCCAAGGCUACACAGUGAAGGAGACCCUAUCUCGAAAAGAAAAACCCUUGCUUCUUAGUUAUGUAACUAAAAUCUGCUGUAUUAAUUUUGUUUGCAUUGCUAGCUGUACAAAGUCUCGAGCUCCAUAUGACAUUUUCCUACGUAUGUAUUAUUGUGCUCUACUCAUUCCCCGCCCCAUCCCCACCCUUGUUUCUCCUCCCCCAUCGUCUCCUCCUUCGCUCAUCAUGAUUUCCUGUAUAUGUGUAGAUUAAUGAACGUAGAUUCUGCUAAGUGCAGGCUUAUCUCUUCCUUCCCCAUGAUGUCGUAUGUUCUCUCGCAUAUCUUUUGGCCCCUUCUUCCUCUCUCUCAUAUAAUCCCCUUCUAAUUUCAUGUUCAUACAUAAGUAUGUACAUGCUUGUGUAUGUGUGUGAGUGGGGGGUUUGUGGAGAGAGAGACUCUUAUUAUGAGAAAAACUGGAAUAUUUGUCUUUCACUCUUCUAUUCAUUUUCCUGAAAUCGUCAUUAAUUUUAUUCUUUACAGCAGAAUGAAAUUCUGUUGUGUUUACAUAUCACAAUUUCUUUAUCCCUUCAUCCGCUGACUAUCUAGGCCAGUCCUAAGGCUCAUCUGUAGUGAAUAGUGUAGCAUGCUGAUCUGCUGAAAGACCCUGUGAGUACAUAUCCCCAGGCCUGUUAUGGCUGGAGCAGACAGCAGCCUGAGUUUCAGUUUUGAGAGAAAGCUCCACACAGAUUUCCAUAGUGGCUGUAAGAGUUCACACUCACUAGUAAUAAUAACUUUUUUUUUUUUUUUUUUUUUGAGACAGGGUUUCUCUCUGUGUAUAGCCCUGGCUGUCCUGGAACUCAGAGAUCCACCUGCCUCUGCCUUCCAAGUGCUGGGAUUAAAGGCAUGUGCCACCACUGCCUGGCAAUAAAGGGUUUUUAAAUUUUAUUUUGUGGAUGUGUUUCCCUGCAUGUAUGUCUGUGUACCAUGUCUGUACCUGGUGCCCAAAGAAGCCAAAGAAGGCAUUAGAUCCCCCAGGACUAGAGUUAUAUAGACAGAUAUGAACUACCAUGUGGGUGAUAGGAAUUGAACCUGGGUCCUCUGGAAGAGCUGCCAGUAUUCUUUAAUUGCUUAGCCAUCUCUAGCUCCACACUGGAUUUUUGAAUGAUAGCCACUCCCACUGGGAUGAGAUGAAAUUUCAGUGUGGUUUUUAUUUGCAUUUAUUUGAUCACUAAUGAUGUUAAAAUUUUUAAAAAUACUUAUUGGAUCUCUAUAUUUCUUCUCCUUUAGAAUUUAAUCUUUAAAUUUAAAUUUUUUAUGUGUGUGCUUUGUCUUUGUAUAUCACAUGUGUGAUGUGCCCACAGUGGUCAAAUUGGACCCCAUGGGACUGGAAUUCAGACAGUAACGAGCUGCCAUGUGGGUGCUGGGAGCCAAACCCAGAUCCUCCAGUAAAGCAGCUAAUGCUAUGCUAUUAACCAUGGAGCCACCUCUCUAGCCCUCACUGUAUUUCUUCUGUGGCAUCAUUCAUUUGCUUGUUUUUGAUUGGAUGGUUUAAGGGGAGAGGUAUUUAAUCUUUUGAGUCUUUAAAUAAAUAAAUGAUUCUAGAUAUUAAUUAUCUGUCAGAUGAUACAUUCCAGAACCCAAGCCUGGGGAAUGGUGGUGCCCACAGUGGGCAGGGUCUUUCUACAUCAGUUGUGACAGUCCCCUAUAGAUAUAUCAAUAAGCCAAAAUGAUCUAGACAAUCAUUCAUUGAAACUCUCUUCCCAGGUAAUUUUAAAAAAAUAUAAAGAUAUAUAUAAUUUAUCUAUAUACUUAUACUUUCUGAAGAGAACCCAGAGUAUCCUCAGCUAAUUUUAGAUUGUGUUAAGUUAUCAAUUACAAUUAGUCACCUGUCUGUCCUCCCAGUCCUUGCUUGGAAUGUCAUGACUGUAGGAAGGUCUGAGGUCAAAGUCAUUAGCUACACACAGAGCUCAGAGCCAGUGUUUAAACAUGAGAUAUAGCCCUAUGGCUCUGCUAGUGCCUUAAACCAUCAUGGCGUCUAGCAGUAAUCCAGUCAUUCACAAAAAUAAAUUGCAAAAGAAAAAUAGGGUGUGGAAAAAGAUGAACAUAGGUGUUUGUAGAAAUAUUUAUGAUGACAUCAGAAUUAAAAGUGAUCAUUAUAUUUACAGAGAAUACUGUGUAGAUGUUAAAAUUAUCUACAAAGUCAUUCUUCAAUAAUAAAAUAUCUUAAAGGAGACAGAGGCAGGUAGAUCUCUGUGUUCAAGAUCAGCCUGGUCUACAUAAUGAGUUCGAGGACAGCCAAAGCUUCUUAGCAAGAUCUUAUCUC